rnacentral:rRNA from 1 species
UACAGAGGUCUCAAGCGUUGUUCGGAUUCAUUGGGCGUAAAGGGUGUGUAGGUGGCGCGCUAAGUCGGGGUGUAGAAAUUUCGGAGCUUAACUCCGAAACUGCAUUCGAUACUGGCGUGCUUGAGGACUGGAGAGGAGACUGGAAAUUCAUGGUGAGCAGUGAAAUGCGUAGAGAUCAUGAGGAAGACCGUGGCGAAGGCGGGUCUCUGGACAGUUCCUGACACUGAGGCACGAAGGCCAGGGGAGCAAACGGG